rnacentral:rRNA from 1 species
CACGUAGGCACCAAGCGUUGUCCGGAUUUAUUGGGCGUAAAGAGCUCGUAGGCGGUUCAGUAAGUGGGGUGUGAAAUCUCCGGGCUUAACUCGGAACGGUCAAGUGAUACUGUCGGGCUAGAGUGCAGAAGGGGCAACUGGAAUUCUCGGUGUAGCGGUGAAAUGCGUAGAUAUCGAGAGGAACACCUGCGGCGAAGGCGGGUUGCUGGGCUGACACUGACGCUGAGGCGCGAAAGCCAGGGGAGCGAACGGG